GCUCUGACCAUCUCCGCCCUCCCUGAGGGACCCUGUACUGAGCUGCCCUGAGGCCCUUGCCUGCGCCCAGCUCGGGGCGGCUCAGUCCAGGAUGCAUCGGGGUGGGAGUCAGCGGGAAUGGAGG
rnacentral:pre_miRNA from 14 species